AAAGGGCACACAGCAGGAACAAGGGCAGCGGGGACAGGUGCAGGAAACUGCUGCAGGUGACCCUGGAGACUGAGGGGGAGGGAGCCUGAGAGAGAUGCGGAGGCGAAAUGGUUUAGGGAGGCCUCAGAAGCUAAUCUCUCAGCAUCCCAACCCCCAGAGUCUUUUCAGAACUGUCCCGAUUUCUAAAGCCCUCUCCUAGAGCAGGAAGGAAAAGGAGGUUAUACUCAGGAAGCAUUUUGUUAAACAAGAGUAAUCCUGUGCCUUGCAGGCUGAGAGUGCUCAAUAAACAGAGAGUGGUUGUUGGCAGUGAGCACCAACUGUGUUCACGACGGGGUGCUGGGGACUGACAAGGCCUCUCGGUCCCACUGGGAGGACAAGAUGCACAGGCAACAGUCACAGUCCAGGGCAUGGCUGGAUGCUGAUCCCAAGUGCUAUUCAGGAAAAGAAGAGGUGGAUGGAGGCUGAAGACUGGGGAAGAUCUGCAGUGGGACUGGAGCCGGAUCUUGAAAGUAGACAGGAGAAAUGGGAUUGGUGAAAGGGAGGCAGAGAGGCAUUCGGGGGUAGAGAAGGAAC